rnacentral:rRNA from 1 species
UACGUAGGGUGCAAGCGUUGUCCGGAAUUAUUGGGCGUAAAGAGCUCGUAGGCGGUUUGUCGCGUCUGCUGUGAAAACUCGGGGCUUAACUCCGGGCCUGCAGUGGGUACGGGCAGACUAGAGUGCGGUAGGGGAGACUGGAAUUCCUGGUGUAGCGGUGAAAUGCGCAGAUACCAGGAGGAACACCGGUGGCGAAGGCGGGUCUCUGGGCCGUAACUGACGCUGAGGAGCGAAAGCGUGGGGAGCGAACAGG